CGUACAGCGUCCAUGCCACGGGGCAUAUCCAACAGUACCACCUCCACCAGAUCGGUGUUUUCUGAAGGUAGCGGGAGGCAAGAACAGGAAUGAGCUUUGCUGCUUUGGAAAUGGUAGACAAAAGUUGCAGGGGGCAUGAUGAGGUCUUACCGGUCGGGGGAUGAUGAACCCAGAGAAGAGGUUCCAGAUGGCAUAGAAUGCCGAGGAGACGAUCGAGGCGAUGUGAUAGUUAGGUGUUAGCCCAACAGCCAUCAUGCCAUAGAAUGUGAAGUAGAGCAGCGUGAAGUACCCAAAGAAGAGGUACCAAAAGAACUUGGCAGCCGUCCACUCAAACCCGAUCAUGGCGUACACUAUGACACCAUAUAGAAUAUCCUGAACCAGUGCGUAUGGGAGCUCAAUGACAACCUGCGUGGAGACAAAUUGAUCAGACCAGUGCCCUGCUCUCUAGAACAUGGGCCAACAGGCAACAAGCAGCAGAAAAAGCAGCGUGUGAAAUUGAUCUCCAGGAGGAACAUUCACCUGGCCAAAUGCAUAUGGGAAAGCUGAGUACAUGCCAGCAGCUCUUUCACGGUAAAAGACUGUCCGCUCCACAGCCACCACUGGCUGAACUGAGGUACAAUUCAUGACCCCGAUGAAAAUCACUGCAGCGUACAUUGAUCCCAAGGCAUUCAUCAAAUCUUGUGAUGUAGACCUGGAUUAUGAAGCAAAACGUGAAUAAAAAACUGAAGGUCAAGCCACUUGUUUGCCAUAAGCAAUGGUACAACUGGGAAUGACUUACACUUUGCCACCUAGGUCCCAAAAGAUGGUGCCAAGGAGGAGAGCAAUGAUGGUAGUGAAAAAGAACCUAACAGUAUUGUAAGGAGGAUUCCUCCAGUAUGACAGGUUCUGUUUCCACAGGCAAGCCACACAUUGUGUGAUGGAAGACUGUGCGUACGUGCUAGCGAAAUGCAGGUCACUUGAACCUGGCACCGGAUGGCUUAAUUCCUUUAUCAACGCCUUGUUCCUCCUGUAAAAUAUAACAAGCAACACAUCAUCUACUGCAGAAAUUCCAUGGAGAAGGAGGGUUGGUUAAUACUGAAAAGUGCAAAGUGCAUUGGUAUGUACCAACCGGUAGUACCCCGUUUAUGGUUAUUCUCAAAGAUGAAGUAAGUGACUAGUAGGGAUUGUAAUUUACUUACUGGUAGAGUUCAGAUUUCUUGUAUAUGUCACUGAAAUCAACACCUAGAAUCUGUUCCUGAGAAGUUGUGGUCACUUCCAGCAUCCAUGUUGCUGGAUUGUAGCCAUCUUUAAUUUUGCUGACCCCUUGGAUCCCCUGGAUAAUAUGAAACCACAUGAUAUUCUCAGUAAUUUUGAAGAAAAUUCGUGUAUGGAUAGUCAGAUUUCUCUAAUAUCAUUUACCUCAAAAUACUUGAUAAGAUCUGAAGAAUGAUGUCCAAGUGGACCAGCAUAGAUCUCUUCUCCACCACGCUUCAUAAGGAAAAGCUGCAUGCAUUGAUCAAACAUUUUAGACUUUGCAAGUUGCAACAUAGUUCAAGGUUUGGAAAAACCAACCACAUCAAAACAAGUAUGACCAAACGCUGACCAGAAAGUAGAGGGUAGAUGGAAGUAAAUCCUAUGUGAAAUCUCACUCACCUCGUCAAAUGCUUCAAAUAUGUCAAUGCUAGGCUGAUGUAUUGUGCAGACCACAGUUCUACCAGUAUCAACGGUGUUCCUCACCGUCCGCAUCACAAUUGCAGCUGCUCGGGCAUCAAGCCCUGAGGUUGGCUCAUCCAUAAAGAUGAUCGAUGGAUUUGCAACAAGUUCCACAGCAAUGGUAAGCCUUUUCCUCUGCUCAGUUGACAGACCAUUCACUCCAGGAAGUCCAACCAAAGCAUUUCUCAGUGGUUUGAGCUCCACAAGCUCCAUCACCUCCUCAAUGAAGAUCUGCACAUAUAAUGGUGAGCAACUAUCUACCAAGUGUAUCUUUCCACGGGUGGAAAUUGCAACUAUUUUGUGGAACUAACCUUUCUUGUGUUUGAAUCGACAUCCUUGGGAAGCCGGAGCCAUGCUGAGAAAAGCAAGGACUCAUAGACCGUCACCUGUGGCGAGUGGAUAUCAUUCUGUUCACAGUAUCCUGAUACACGUGCAAAGGUCUCUUGUUUCUUUGGGUAUCCUGAAAUGCAGAUGUCUCCUUCAAUGUACCCGCCUGUCUUUCUCCCAGCUAACACAUCCAUCAAAGUAGUUUUUCCUGCACCACUGACGCCCAUCAGUGCUGUCAGCACACCAGGCCUAAAAGACCCACUGACACCUUUGAGGAGCUCCAAACGAUCUUCUUGUACACCUUGUGCUUUCAUUUCCUGAAUUUAAUUUCAUGACCAAGGUUACAGAAUAGUGAUGAAAUUGUAUUUGUUGUGUAAGAGAUCAACUUUCUAUAUUUCACCUGUGGCAUGUCAACAGAGUAGUUGAUAAAGUGGCUGAUCUUCUCCCAGGAUGGAAGGCACAGCUAAUGAAUAGGGCUGGUCGCUUGAUUAUGGUGCGGGUGGUCAUGACAGCCACCCCCAUUUAUCUAAUGAUUGCCUUUGAUCUCCCUAAAUGGGUAAUCAAGGCAGUGGAUAAAAGGAGGAGAGGUUUUUUAUGGAAAGGGCAGGAACAGGCAAAUGGAGGCAACUUUUUAGUUUCAUGGGAAAGGGUUCAGCGCCCGCUUGAGUACGGUGGAUUGGGUAUCCAUAAUUUAGAAAAGCUUGGCUGGGCCCUAAGGAUCCGGUGGCUCUGGGCCCAAAAAACAGAUCCCUCAAGACCUUGGGCUGGUUUUCAUGUUCAAAUUCCUCAGUGUGCAGAAGCAAUGUUUCACCUAGCAGUUGACUGUAUUGUAGGUAAUGGAGAAUCAAUUUUAUUCUGGAAGGACAGGUGGCUGAAUGGAAGUACCAUUAGCGAUCUUGCCCCAAAUUUGGUCAAAGCUAUUCCCAAGAGAUCUCUCAACAGAAGGACAGUUGCUGAGGCUCUAACUAAUCAGAGGUGGGUGGCUGAUAUCAAGGGGGCACGCACUGUCCAAGUCUUUGAAGAAUAUUUCCAUAUUUGGGAUCUAGUAGAGGGCUUGACCUUGCAGCAGGAUGUACCUGAUCAGUUUAGAUGGAAAUUAACUCAGUCAGGUGCUUACUCCAGCAAAUCGGCUUAUGCGGCUUUCUUUGUUGGGACCAUCAAAUUUGCACCAUGGAAAAAGAUUUGGAAGAGUUGGGCUCCACUACGGUGCAAGUUCUUUAUUUGGUUAGCUAUCAACAAUCGAUGUUGGACGGCAGACCGACUUGCUAAAAGAGGCUUGCCCCAUUCCGAGGUUUGUCCUUUCUGUGAUCAAGAGGAAGAAACCAUAGAGCACAUCCUUGUGGGGUGUGUAUUCACCAGGCAGAUAUGGUUUUCAAUUCUUCAAGCUCUUCACUUACCUGCUCUUGUGCCCUCAACUUCGGACACCAAUUCUCUAGCUGGUGGAGGAAAAGUCUUCGGCUCGUUCCAAAGGAAUUGCAAAAGGGGGUCAAUUCUUUAGUUAUCCUAGUAGCUUGGGAAACUUGGAAACACAGAAACUCUUGUAUUUUCGAGCAUGCUAGGCCUAGCAUUCCGGACCUGCUCCGGGUGAUAGCUGAUGGCUGCAGUUUUUGGGGGCUGGCUGGAGCUUCUAAGCUCCAAGAGCUUCUUGCUCGGUCGCUGUCCCUAGCCGCUUAGGUGGUGUCUAGGUUGACCAGGGGUUUUAGUUGUUGCCUUGUCUCCUGUUAGAAGUGUGUGUGUGUGUGUGUGUGAGUGGAGUUUUUUUGUACUUGGACCAGUGCCUACCGGUUUUUCCGUCUUCUUAAUGAAAUGACACGCAGCUCUCCUGCGUUGUUCGAGAAAAAAAAAAGAGUUUCACAACAGCCUUUGUAUAGGAUAGCUAGUGAGGACGACAUCCUUUGUAUAGGAUCUGCCUGCCAGGUGUAUGUGAUUUUAUUUGAUUGGUGACUUAAGAGGUUGCGGCAAAUUACAUACCACCGAUGGCUCAGUAGUGUUCGCCAACAACAUUGUAAUGCUGAAUAGCUCCUUUAGGUGAUAUACAUGAGUCCCCAUCCCCACAGACAAAGGUCCUGGUAGUAUUGCUCAUUUGAAAUAGUAUGAAUUUUGGGCACUUUUUUACAACUUGCCAGUGAACAUCUUAAUUGUUAUGGUUAGCUAGCUUGGCCCAUUCGUAUUUACCAAAUUUUUUGCAUGAAUCUCAGCAAUAUGGUCGAUGGCAUUGCCUUGUGCGGGGUAUAAGCAGGUGAGUGCAACACUAUCCUAAUGAUUUGUAUCAUGCAAGUUUAUUAAUCAUGCAGGUUUAUUCUAAUUUUGGCAGUUCAUGGCCUCAUGGGUAUGACAUAAGAGUAGUGUCCCAUCCUGUGUUUUUGCGCUGUUUAUUCACAAGGGGAUCAAAAUAAUGCAGGUUCCUCAUGCCAAUUGUUUCCCCUCUUACAGGCUUAUGAGUGUUUUUGCAAAUGCCUGUCAUUUGUACAAACUAAAUUCAAGGCCAGAACAUUUUGUUUGUGUAGUCCCCCUGUCCGUGUUGUUGCUGGACGUUCCCUUUGUUGCACUGCUGCUGCUGCUAGGGGAGAGAAGUAAGGAGGAUAAGAGAUGAAAAACCAGGGCAGAAGAUAGAGGAGCGAGGAGGGGUCCCACUGGGUUCCUUCAUUGUGGUGCUGCAGGUUAAGAAUCCAUGCCAUAAGGCUAUAAGCUCAUUUUCCAACAAAGAAAGGCCUCUUCCCCCCCCCCCCCCCCCGAUAUAAUCAUCUGAUCAGAAAGGAAAUUACUUGUACAAAGGCUUAUGCAUGCACCCAAUUAUGAAGUUAGCUAAGCUGAGGAAAUUGCUUGUUUCGUAUCCCUAGCUUUAUCACAUUUUUCAGUUCUUGAGAGCCUGCUUUCUUUAUGACUGCUGCUUGUCCUGAAUUGUUUUUCUACUCUAAAUUCACUGCCAAUAUUCUCAGCUGUUUAACUUAUAUGUUCUCUUACACUAGUAAAUUAUAGUGCCAUAGUGGAACUACCAAAGGUUCAUGUAUUUGUUACUGCCCAGAUUAGUCUAUAACUUGUUCAAGUAUGCCUAUUAUGCUGCCAGAUAAUUGGUUAUUGGUCAAGCAGUGUGAGCCAUUUUAUUUUUUUCAGAGAACUGUCCUAAAGUUGCAAUUUGUAUUGAACCAACUACAUGGUGCAGUUAUCAGAGCACAACAGAGGUUAGUGAUUACACUAUUCAAAUUCCUUCAUGAUUUGGUAUAUACAAGGUUGCUUGAGUUAACUGUAGCGGUGCAUGUUCAAUUCUAUCUCCAAGUCUCCAAAGAGGUAUAGGUGUCUGAAAUAGGAAAGAGUGAUAUGUCGAUUGGAAAAUAGGGUAGCAUGCAAAUCAAAUAUUGAGUUGCACAUUAUGAAACCGUUAUUUUUUAAGCCUGAGUGAUUUACAGUUGAGAUAUCUGAUUCUUCUGCAAGCUAAUAAAUCUCUUGGACUUUGGGAGUUGGGAAACAAAUUACACGAAUGAUUUACGAGAGAAUAAUAUUCUACUUGAAUUUACUGUCACAACAUCAUAUACCCUGUCUAUAUUCCCAGUCUAGGCACUUAAAGCAACUACAAACUUUGUGGUUGUAUUUCUCUAUUUUUUUAGAGAUGAACAUUAUGUUGAUGUUUUACAUCUUUUGUUAACAACCUGGUAUCCAUAUAGUGGCAUAUGGAUAUUUAUUUGUUUGAUUAACAGCUGAUCCAAGCCUUGCUAUAGUUGGAUUUUGUAGCUCUUGUAUUAUUUAUUUUAGGGUCCUUUCUGAAUUAGCAACUAGGCCUGUAAAUUGCGAGCAGGGAAAGAAUUUGUUUGUAUGGAACCUGGUCAUGUCGAGAGGUGAAAUGGAUCGGUUCAAAUGAAAGGUUAUAAGACACCUCAGAUGCCAGAUAUUUGAACAAUUUUUGACUGAAACAGAUAUUUGAAUAAUUUGAACAAUUAUUGCAUGGCAUAUCUAGAUAAUUUUCCGAAGUCAUUUUUCCAUAUGCCUUAAACAAUGAAUCAGUGCAUGGCAUUGAUUUGGAUCAUGGCAAUGCACGGAAUAGACCAUGGUUCCUCAGCGUGACAGUAUACCUAUUGCACCAAACGAAUGAUUAGUGUCCUAAAAAUACUGAAGUAUUAUCAUUUGCCUUCUUAUAAAAAGAAAUGGCACAUCAUAUUGUAGCUUAGUAUAAGGAAACAGCACCUGGCAGAUGUCACAGUUGUACCUUUAGAUUUGUUCUUAAUAACUUUUGCAGAGCAGCUUUUCUCCUAUUCGUCAAUCAUUUGUGUUUUCAGUAGUUAGCAUUGGGAAUUAGAAGGCCUUUCUUCAGAGAGGCUGCAGUGCUUGUUGAUACUAUUACGUUAUGAUGUGUACUUCCAGCCAUUAAGCUAAGCUUAAGUAUGUGGUGCUUAAAUGUAUUAAAUAUAGUCACUGUCAAGGAGCAUAUUGAUAUUAUUAUCUAUACCUUGCUCCCCCAAAAAAAAAAUCAGAGUUACUUCAAAUAUUACAAUUUAGGAUCUUUGUAUAUUUGGGUCUUGAGUUGACAAUCUUUUGAUGGAUAAUUCAUUUUACAGAAGAGGCAGAACGAUAUCCUAAUGAUUUGCAACAUAGUCAAAUUGUUCUUUAACUGUCACUAUUUGAUAAUUAAGAGCAACAGUGUAACCCAGCUUUGUUCUUUAUGUAGGUUCAAGCUGUUGAUGCGAACCCUUCAUGAGUUCGGAUCUCGCAUGGCAAAUUCAAAAUUCCCAACAAGCCAAAGCUGGCCUCCAUUGUUACUACACCUGAGAAUGAAGGGGGGAGGCAUUUAACAUGCGGUGUCGCGAAAUGCCAGUUGCAACGUGCCAGUUGUUUGUGAAAGAAUUCUCUUGCCUUGGAGUGGAUUGAAGUGCAGGAGGUCUCCAAUGUAGUACUUCGGUUUGUUCAGGUGAGCAUUUUUCUUGUGCGGAUGAUACCAUUGAGAGGAGUUAUAGCUGAGAAAGGGAGAAACCAUGAUCCAAUUGUAGCUGUGUGAGGACAAUGUUGCUUACUUAGAAAAUUUGAUCUAUGAUAUGUAUGUUGGCACUGCUAUAUAUGUUUAUGCACAGAUCCUUGGCUACUCAGAAUUGUUUGCCUGCAUUCUGAUAUUUGAACAUCAGAUAGUUGGACAGUUAAGAUGAGGUUUUCUUAUAUCAACAAUUUGUUUGGAAGUUUUGGUAUAGUAGUGGGACUCGCAAAUUCAAUUUGUUGGUUUUGACUUGUGAAGGUGACAAUUUACAACAUACUGAUUUUGCAAACAUCACACAAGAAUAAUCAUUGUUGAUAAUAGUAUAACACACAUCCAAACUUUGUUAUUGUGACAUUAUUUCAACACGCAUGAUCCGAGUCAACCAAAGAAACAUGAAAGGAAAGACCAGGUUUUAAUGAUUCUUUCUCAUGUACUUGCAAUCUUCUAGUACUGAUGUACACGUAUCAAAAUAGUACGUAUAUGUUUAAGUCAAAUAUACACGUAUCAAAAUAGUACGUAUAUGCUUUAAGUCAACAGCAACACACGAGGUAUUUCCUUGCCUUCAACUAAUCCUUUGCAAGGAGCUACAAGCUUACAAAAUUUACUAGUAGGUGUGUGAAAUAUUCUUUAAAUACUACGCCAUCAUCCUCCCAAAAAAGCAGCAAUAACUGCUAGUAUAACUUUAACUAAUCAAAGAAUCCAUAGAUUUGGCGGACUCUCCCAAUAUACACAGUCAAAUUUACUUGCACGACCCAACGAAUGCAAAAUCCCUUGUCCAGGUGGUGAUUUUCCCAGCUCCUAUCGUCAUUAUCUCUUCUGGAAGUUGAACUUCAUGAUGGCAAAGCCAAAUAGGGCCGCAAAGAGCACAGCGAAUGCUACCACCACGGCUGCCACCCACCCCAACCAGCUGUGCUUGAAGCCGAAGUAGUCCUCAACGUACUGUGACACCACCACAGUCCUGUUGUUGUCGUCCAUCUCUGUCAUGAUGUCACCGAACUGUGACACCACCAGCCCGUACAGCGUCCAUGCCACGGGGCAUAUCCAACAGUACCACCUCCACCAGAUCGGUGUUUUCUGAAGGUAGCGGGAGGCAAGAACAGGAAUGAGCUUUGCUGCUUUGGAAAUGGUAGACAAAAGUUGCAGGGGGCAUGAUGAGGUCUUACCGGUCGGGGGAUGAUGAACCCAGAGAAGAGGUUCCAGAUGGCAUAGAAUGCCGAGGAGACGAUCGAGGCGAUGUGAUAGUUAGGUGUUAGCCCAACAGCCAUCAUGCCAUAGAAUGUGAAGUAGAGCAGCGUGAAGUACCCAAAGAAGAGGUACCAAAAGAACUUGGCAGCCGUCCACUCAAACCCGAUCAUGGCGUACACUAUGACACCAUAUAGAAUAUCCUGAACCAGUGCGUAUGGGAGCUCAAUGACAACCUGCGUGGAGACAAAUUGAUCAGACCAGUGCCCUGCUCUCUAGAACAUGGGCCAACAGGCAACAAGCAGCAGAAAAAGCAGCGUAUGAAAUUGAUCUCCAGGAGGAACAUUCAC
rnacentral:lncRNA from 1 species